UGCCCAAGAGAUCGGGAUAACACCUGGAAACAGAUGCUAAUACCGGAUAACAACAGAUGAUGCCUAUCAACUGUUUAAAAGAUGGUUAUGCCAUCACUCUUGGAUGGACCUGCGGUGCAUUAGCUAGUUGGUAGGGUAACGGCCUACCAAGGCGAUGAUGCAUAGCCGAGUUGAGAGACUGAUCGGCCACAUUGGGACUGAGACACGGCCCAAACUCCUACGGGAGGCAGCAGCG
rnacentral:rRNA from 1 species